UAGGAUUUUGCCAACAACCUUAGCACCCUGCUCUCUGCUGGUUAUCAUGUGAAGCUAAGCAGGUUUGGGUGUGGUCAGUGCUUGGAUGGGAAACCACCUGGGAAGAUAAAGCUCCUAC
rnacentral:rRNA from 1 species